rnacentral:rRNA from 1 species
GACGAACGCUGGCGGCGUGCUUAACACAUGCAAGUCGAGCGGUGCGGCGAACGGGUGAGUAACGCGUGAGUACCUGCCCCCCUCCCUGGGAUAACAGUUGGACACGGCUGCUCAUCCCGGAUAGUGGGGGCUGUCUCGCGUCCUAUCUGCUUGUUGGUGGGGUGGUGGACUACCAAGGCGACGACGGGUCGCCGGCCUGGGAGGUUGACCGGCCACAUUGGGCUGAGAUACGGACCAAACGGCAACGGGAGGCAGCGGUGGGGAAUAUUGCGCAAUCGGGGAAAGUCUGAUGCAGCAACGCGCGGUCGUGAUGACGUCUUUGCGGUUGUAAACCGCUUUAAGCCAUGACGCGGUAGUGGCAGAAGAAGCACCGGCUAACUACGUGCCAGCAGCCGCGGUAAUAC